GUAAUUUAACCGUGCAAAGGUAGCAUAAUCAAUAGUCUUUUAAUUGAAGGCUUGAAUGAAGGGUUUGACGGAAAGGGAGCUGUCUCUUUGAUUUGUUUUGAACUUAACAUUUGUGUGAGAAGGCAUUAAUAGUUUAGUGGGACGAUAAGACCCUAUAAAACUUAACAUAUACUGUGUUGGUUUUUAUAAAUGUUUACUAAUUAACAAGUGGCUGGGUGUGUUGUGCUGGGGCGGCAUGGAUAUAAUUUGUAACUGUUUAUUUAAAUAAAAUAUGUAUUUAUAGACUUUGGUCCUUUAUUAGAGAGGUAAGAGUAAGUUACUUUAGGGAUAA
rnacentral:rRNA from 1 species